GAGCCGUCGUUCACGAGGGAGGACCGGGACGACAUGUGGCAGGAGCUGGUAGCGCUUUUGAACGAAGUCCCUGCGCGUAACACCACAGCGACCACAGCCUUGCCAAACUCCGAGAGCAGCAGAGCGGCACCGGAGGCGGCCAGAUUACGGGUUACCGCGGCCGCGUCGUGCUUGACAGGGACCGCGCGGGUCGACAGUAAGCGAGGCCCAGAGUUCGGGUGAUCUGAAUCGGUGAGCCCUGCUCCAGCUGCUGCUGGUGUGGCUGAAGAGGAUGUGGCCCAGGAUCUUCCCCGUGCCCCAACACCUCAUGCCGCAGCUGCGAGAUGGGGGCAACCGGCAGGCCAAGGCGCUGGAGUUACUAGCCGCAAACACCAGGCGGCAGGGCCAGAUAUCAUUGGAAAGCUGCCGACUGCCAGGUUCAACUUCUCGGUGACGUGGUCCACGAGCUGCAAGGCGUUGGUACCCUCACCCGGGCUCUCAUUGCAGCAGAAGCCACCUGCACAGUGAUUUGUAAAGACUAGUUGUACAUAUAUGUAGAUUUAUUUUUGUUCACACCACGAGUUGUGAUACGCUGGUUUGCUUCAAUGGUGCCCUGCAAUUUUUUUUCAGUUAAUUUUCUUUUUCUGCAUAUCAGAAGCACUGAUGUGCUGUUUCAUUGUACAUAACACAGUGUAGCUCAGUGGUAAAUCGUGUCCUGCAAUGUCAUUUUUUAAAAUCUCAUAUGAAUUAAUGCAUUCAGCAAGUUUGUAGUAUAUGCACAUAGUGCACUGUAGUGUAUCUUUAUGUCUAUAGUGUAUACGUGUAGAAUACUCGAUUUUUACAUAUCGUAGAAAAAAAUAAGAGCGUUUGUGCAUGGUCUAGGUUGCACAAUAAUUUGGAAAUAUUGCAAGACCAAAAUAUAGUUGACGAACACGUGUUCUGUUGCUUAGAAGUGUUUAGACAACAUGAUUGGGUACAAACAGAAAUUAAUAAUAGAGGAAGAAAUAUCAGCAACCAACAACUUGCAUUUUCUUAGCGAGUUCGAUUAGUACCGGUUCGACUGUGCCUUGUUUUCAUGUACUACAAUGACUUCUGUGCUGCGAGACGCGUAUGAUGAUGCAGAGGAGCAGCAGGCACUUUGUAACAAUUCCAUUUGUAUAUUAUAGAAGGAGGCUACUUUUAUGUUCUUUUCCUUGGCAUUAAAUUUAAGGGAUAUUUAUUUACUUUGCUUUUUAUGUGCAUUGCUCGCGAUACUUGUAAUAAAAUUUCACUUCUUACACCACCCUUGUUGUUCACCUCAUUUAAAAGCACGAUCCUUGUUGCACUA